AAUCAGUAGAAAGCAGUUAGCAAAUGUAAAUCACAUAUUAUGACAACUGGAAAAGAGCAGAAUGUCAUUUAAUUGUUCAGUUAGGUGGUAGUGGAGAAGACAGUUUUAAAAAGUGACUUUUUUUCCCUUGAGCAGUAAGACCUAACUCUUUAACCCUUCUACUGUGCCUCUAAUAGAGACUAUGUAUACAAGCCUCCUUCAUUUCUAGGAUUUGUCAGUGCUUUUAGAGCUGACCGCUUCUUCCUUUUGGCUUCUCUGAAGCAACUUCAGGUAUAAACAUGUAAUCUAUAUGUUCGAAUGACUUUACUGUUCAUGCAGCACCUGAAAUGCAUGCAUAACAUAUGGCACAGCAGUAACUACUUCCUUUUCUUACAGAACAGAAAUGGAAUGUGUAUUAUGCAUGUAAAAAUGAAUUCUCCGAUAAGAACAGAGAACACCCAAGGAUUAGUAAGGAUCUCUUUAAUAUACUGGUCCUGUGCUCCACACUCCUUGUUAACAUGAGGAGUCUCCCACAAUAUGUUAAAAGAUGAGUCUUUAGUCUCCAGCUUGCUGAUCCCUGGUUUACAAUCAGAUGUGACAGCAAUAGAAUGACUGUAAAUAUCUUGAUGUGAAAAUCUGUAUGAAGAUGGGACUGCCAUUUCUCUUCCUACUCUUCUGUGUUUUUGGUACGCGAGAUGUUAGCUGCACCACUUCUGCUUGCUUCCCAUCAAACUGGAAAAAUGCAUCUGCUCUGCUUUCUGAGCCACCCUCUAGGGUCCUGGAUUCCCUUCUGAGUGGGGAAAUGUAUCCAGGCAAUGGGAACGCUGAAAAGAAAAAGCCUGAGCGUAUCUGGCAGAACGAGAACCACGGAACAAGGACCAGGGCUGCUUCAAAACAAGGAAGUAAUCAAGCAAAGAAACUGUCUUAGGAGGACUACAGGAAUACAGGAAUCAAGGCGGGGACUUAUGCUGGUGCUUCCUCCGGCUUCCCCAGGGACUGUGCCUAUGCUGUUUGAUGAAGUGCAGGGCUAAAAGCAGACUGAAGCGAUGAAAGCUUGAUGCCCCCAUGUGGCUCUAAAACAUCUGUGGUUCAGAUGCAACAAGUCUGUUUUGUUCGUAAGAAAAUAUGAAGAAGCCCUGGAGCCCUGACUUACCAGUUGAUAGUCACUCAUACAAUUCAGAUUUUACAUCCAUCCCAGACAGAGAAAAUGAGAAAGAUUUAGCACCUGAUGGCACUGAGGAAAAGAAGGAGAGAGAAAAGAAACACACCAAUUUCACUUUGUGCAAUGUUUGUAACAUUCAGCUGAACUCUGCAGCUCAGGCACAAAUCCACUAUAAUGGCAAAUCCCAUCAGAAGAGAUUAAAACAGCUCAGCAAUGGAAAUUUCAAAAGUGAUAAUGAUUCAGCAGAUUCCCAGAUGGGACUACAGAAUGUAACAGAGUGUUGGCUCUUCAGGGCAGAUCUUUCAACUGAAGCCUAUCAACCGAUCAGCUGAAUUGAACUGUUCAACUGUUCAGCAGUAUUUCAACUGAUGCAGUGCUUCCCCUUUCAAGUCCUCUGGUAAACAUCUGAUUUGUCCUAAAUCAUGAUUACCCUUCUCUCUGAAAUGCACCAGAGAGGUUCAGGCAACCUGUGAUAUCGUCUAAAUUGCUUUUCAUUCUGUCAAAACUAACGAUUUGAAUGAUAUCUUACCAAUCCUGUGCAAUACAGCCCACAACAAGGCCGUGUACUUUAUAAAAUCAGUGUGAUUAUUAGUUGUCCUGAGAUACUUCUGAAAAGCAUAUUAACUACCCAUCAUUUCACUGUCUUUGCUAGUAUGCCCUCUGGGUAUGGGAUAUACACAAUUCAGAGAAGGUUAAUUGGAGAAAUUCAAGCUCUGGGCUUUUUGUCAUUUUCUUCUUUAUAGCACAAACAUGCAAUGCUAUAUUGGCAGCCUUUCAAGUCCUCUGAAAAACUGAAAUACUUAUUUAUGGUGAUACCUGAUUUUUCAUUUGCAACCAAUUUCCUAAACCUGUAAGGCUUGUUUGAGCUUCAUAUAUACAUAUAAGGAGAAGAGAAAGACAGUUCAGUCCUGGAAAGUCUUUGAGGAAGAUAUGAAAAAUAACCUUGGCAAUGUUGCAAAUUCUAAAACUCUGACUAAGGAGAUAGAGAAAGGUAUUAGCUGUCCCAUACCAUUGCUCAGCAGACCUAAAAUAAACUGUCAUAUUAUCUGACCUAUAAGUGGUAU
ensembl:lncRNA